AGCGGAAAGGCCCUUCGGGGUACUCGAGCGGCGAACGGGUGAGUAACACGUGAGCAACCUGCCCCAGGCUUUGGGAUAACCCCGGGAAACCGGGGCUAAUACCGAAUAUGACCUCUGACCGCAUGGUUGGUGGUGGAAAGUUUUUCGGCUUGGGAUGGGCUCGCGGCCUAUCAGCUUGUUGGUGGGGUGAUGGCCUACCAAGGCGACGACGGGUAGCCGGCCUGAGAGGGCGACCGGCCACACUGGGACUGAGACACGGCCCAGACUCCUACGGGAGGCAGCAGUGGGGAAUAUUGCACAAUGGGCGGAAGCCUGAUGCAGCGACGCCGCGUGAGGGAUGACGGCCUUCGGGUUGUAAACCUCUUUCAGCAGGGACGAAGCGUAAGUGACGGUACCUGCAGAAGAAGCGCCGGCCAACUACGUGCCAGCAGCCGCGGUAAGACGUAGGGCGCGAGCGUUGUCCGGAUUUAUUGGGCGUAAAGAGCUCGUAGGCGGCUUGUCGCGUCGACCGUGAAAACUUGGGGCUCAACCCCAAGCCUGCGGUCGAUACGGGCAGGCUAGAGUUCGGUAGGGGAGACUGGAAUUCCUGGUGUAGCGGUGAAAUGCGCAGAUAUCAGGAGGAACACCGGUGGCGAAGGCGGGUCUCUGGGCCGAUACUGACGCUGAGGAG
rnacentral:rRNA from 1 species